GGACCCGCACAAGCAGCGGAGCAUGUGGUUUAAUUCGAAGCAACGCGAAGAACCUUACCAGGGCUUGACAUCCCUCUGACCGGCCGGUAAUGCGGCCUUCCCUUCGGGGCAGAGGUGACAGGUGGUGCAUGGUUGUCGUCAGCUCGUGUCGUGAGAUGUUGGGUUAAGUCCCGCAACGAGCGCAACCCUUGUCAUUAGUUGCCAUCAUUUGGUUGGGCACUCUAAUGAGACUGCCGGGGACAACUCGGAGGAAGGUGGGGAUGACGUCAAAUCAUCAUGCCCCUUAUGUUCUGGGCUACACACGUGCUACAAUGGCCGGUACAGAGAGAAGCAAUACUGCGAAGUGGAGCAAAACUCUAAAACCGGUCCCAGUUCGGAUUGCAGGCUGCAACUCGCCUGCAUGAAGUCGGAGUUGCUAGUAAUCGCGAAUCAGAACGUCGCGGUGAAUGCGUUCCCGGGUCUU
rnacentral:rRNA from 1 species